UACGUAGGUGGCAAGCGUUGUCCGGAUUUACUGGGCGUAAAGGGCGCGCAGGCGGUCGUUCAAGUCGCGUGUGAAAGCCCCCGGCUCAACUGGGGAGGGUCACGCGAUACUGAUCGACUCGAAGGCAGGAGAGGGUAGUGGAAUUCCCGGUGUAGUGGUGAAAUGCGUAGAUAUCGGGAGGAACACCAGUGGCGAAGGCGACUACCUGGCCUGUUCUUGACGCUGAGGCGCGAAAGCUAGGGGAGCAAACGGG
rnacentral:rRNA from 1 species